rnacentral:misc_RNA from 1 species
GUAAGCACACAAGUGCCAUUAUCCCAAGUUGGCCCACAGUCUAGAUUUGAAGAUAGGAUACAAUAUUUUGUUCCAAAGCAGACAAAAAUACCUUUUAAUUUUGUACUAUAUGGUCAUUUUUUGGGUCUCCAGUUUAGGUUCCUGAUUUAUCCAGGCAACACUGAGUCCAAGGUUAAGUGAGGUCUGGGCUUAUUAAUUUUCCAAAAAAAAAAAAUCAUUUUAUUGCAAACU